AAAAGGGGAAAGCUGAGAGUGAUCUUGGACUGAGCCCUUAAUCAAACACUGGAAGGACUGUGAGAGAAUCAGAACAGCUCAGUAGAGGUCAUAGCUAAGGGUCACCUCCCUUCAGAGUGUGCAGAGAGGAGGAGCUCAAAGUCUGACUCUGGCUGAGUCUUUUUGACACCACCAUGAAGCCAAACAGAAACACGUCAGCUGCUCUCCCAGUGCAGCAUGAAGCUCAACAAGUUCAGCAUCUGGGAAGAGGAGCAAAACCUCCUGUCCUACUCACAGGAAUUGUCAAAACUGCCACACCAAGCACACAUGGUUAUUAUUUAGGUGGUAUUGAAAAGCCUUUUCAUCAAAGUGCCAUUUGGAAAAAAGUGAGCACAUAACGUGAAGAUGAUAGAUGUCUGUACAUUCAACGUGGUAUAACUUUGG